AUAAGAAGUAAAUUUCAUAAUUUUAUAUAGAAAUAGCAUGUAUUUCAUAAGCACAAAAUAAUUCUUAAAAAAAACAACUGAAAAAAUAAGAGUCUUCUCUGGCAUAGGUGGGAAGAGUAUGGUUUUCCAGAAAUUUCUAUGUUGGCAAACAAGUCAAAAAGAAGUGGGGAAUAAUUAGUUAAUUCACGGGAAAUGGUGAUAUUUUUUUUCGUGUGGAUUGUUGGACCCUGGUGUGAAAUGGAAACUUGUAUUUCUUCCCUCUCCCUACGCUCCUUUCUAUAUAUCUUUCAAUUUCUUCACAAGUUCAACCCAUAACUUCCAUCCCUGCAGUCUUCUUCUAGCUCCUCCUUAAUUCAUUUUCUCUUUCAAAAUAACCAAUCCCCUCUUUCUUUUUCUUUUUCCUUACCAGAGACUUCAUAAUCACCAAUUCAACAUGGCAUAUGAAGAUCAAUACCAGCAAUCCCUGCUGCUAAAAUAUGACACUCUUCUCUUUGACGUGGAUGAUACCCUGUAUCCCUUAAGCACUGGUUUCUCGAAGGAAUGCGCCAAGAACAUUGAAGAAUAUAUGGUUCAGAAGCUUGGUAUUCCAGAAAAUAAAGCCUCUCAAUUGAAUCAAGAAUUGUACAAGAACUAUGGAACCUCAAUGGCGGGUCUCAAGGCUAUUGGCUAUGAUUUUGACAACGAUGAAUAUCACAGGUGUGUGCUUAAUGUCUUCUCUAUGCUUCCACUUUGUAUAAAUCAUGACAAUCAUCUGACACUUUGAAUUAUAAUUUGCAGCUUUGUUCAUGGAAGAUUACCUUAUGAGAAGCUGAAGCCUGACCAUGUUCUAAGGAGUCUUCUGCUUAGCUUGCCUGUCCGUAAAGUUGUAAGUUGACAUUUACACUGCACGAGCCUCUUAAUUUUGCGCGAGUUAGAAAAGGGAUUUGGAAAUUUAUGAUGCUUUGGUUUUUAUUAUGACAGAUAUUCUCAAAUGCUGAUAAAGCCCAUGUGGCUAAAACUCUAAGCAAGCUUGGAUUGGAGGACUGUUUUGAGAGGAUUAUAUGCUUCGAGACCCUUAAUCCCAGUGGCAAAACCAGUACUAGUUUUGAUGAUAAAAAUGAGCUUCAACUUGGAAGUGAAAUGCUUGAAAUCUCUGAUCAUUCUUGUCAAUCUGAUAUUGGUUCAAUACUUCCUAAAACUCCAAUCGUCUGCAAACCAUUUGAAAAUGCAUUUGAACAGGCCUUUAAAUUGGCUAACAUCAAACCUCAAAGAACAAUAUUCUUUGAUGAUAGCAUCCGGAACAUACAGACAGGAAAGCAAAUGGGACUCAGGACUGUGUUGGUGGGCAAAUCGAAUCGAAUUUCGGGGGCUGAUUAUGUUCUUGACAGCAUCCACAAUAUGAAGGAAGCAAUGCCAGAACUCUGGGAAGCAAAUAGCAAGAAGUCAGAAACUACAAAAUAUAUAGCAAGUGUUUCAAUUGAAACAUCUGUGACAGCCUAACUUACCACUGUGUAUCUCAGUUUCUGUAACAUCGAUCAUUUGUGCAGGAAAUUUUUAUCCCUACUGAUGAUCAUCAAUAAAGAUUUUGUUUUUGGGAGUCUUAAUUGAUGAAUUUUCCCAACAAUAUUGGCUCUCGCGCACUCGAUAAAGGCAUUCCUCGGUUUUGUCGUGAUCAUGAAAUUUCUGUAAUGUGUAGGACCGUGAAUUGAGCUUGGUAAUUCAAUAGGAAAAAAAAUGUAAAUAAAAAUAUUUUAAAAAAUUUAAAAUAAAGAGUAAUUUAAUUAAAUUAAAAAAUAUUUUAUUAAAAUUUAAGUAAUUUAAUUUCAAUGU
rnacentral:misc_RNA from 1 species